GAUGAACGCUGGCGGCGUGCCUAAUACAUGCAAGUCGAGCGAACUCAUCGGAAUCUUUCUUCUCUGAUGUUAGCGGCGGACGGGUGAUUCCCUCUUGGUUAACCUACCUCUAAGACUGUGAUACCUUUGGGAAACCGGCGCUUCUGCGGGAUGAUUUUUUGCACUUCAUGGUUCCAAAGUCUAAGUCGGUCUUUCUGUCACUUAUAGCUCGAUCCGCGCUGCAUUAGCUAGUUGGUAAGGUAACGGCAUAACAAGGCAACGAUGCAUAGCCGACCUGAGAGGGUGAUCGGCCAGACUGGAACAGAGAAACGGUCCAGACGCCGACGGGAGGCAGCAGCAGGGAAUCUUCCGCGAUGGACGAAAGCCUGACGGAGCAAAGCCGCGUGAGGGAUGAAGGUCUUCGGAUCGGAAAACGAUGUUAGUAGGGAAGAACAUAUGUGUAAGUAACGGGGAACAUAUUGACGGUACCUAAACAGAAAGCCACGGCUAACUACGUG
rnacentral:rRNA from 1 species